rnacentral:lncRNA from 1 species
CGAAUUUCUGACCAAGGGGUGGGUACAAGAUGGUGUGGAAAGCAAGCGAAUUAAAGGCAAGUAAUUCAACCUCGAUUUUAUGAUUUCAAGUAAGUAUCAUUACUUGGAACUCGAUUAUAAGUAUGCAAGCACGUUUUACAAAUCACAUGACUAUGUAGUCUUUCAAAAAACGAUAUGUUUCUUCUUCCAAGAGUUCAACAUGAAUUCUUUUCUCCAAGCCACAACACUUUUCAGAAUCGACAAGGCAUCUUUGAACUUGAAAUCCCCGACUCUUGAGGAAUUUGAGAACAAUUACAUCGCUUAUUUCAUCGACCAGAAAUGGGAUUCCCGGAUGGAAACUUCCGGUCGUGGCGGUAUUGGUGUUUCUUUGACUGCUUCCACCUCAUUUGGCUACUCCUCCUCUUCCCUCGUAGAGUGCGUUCUUCAACGACGAUUCUUUCUUUAUGGAUGACGGGGAUGAAAACUUGGGGGAUAGAGUGAAUUCCAAAUUUGCUGAAGGCGAUUUUGUAAGCGAUUGAAUGACCACAGAAUUAGGGAUUGGUAGCAAUAAUUGUGGGAUUAUGAUAUGGACGGUUUGGUUGAGGAAUUAACGCCUUCUAAUUUGAUGUUAAUUAUUUGGAAUAAGGUUAUUUUUCAGAUUUCAUUUUUACUUUAAUAUUGCAG